GGGUAGCUCAAUCAGUAGAACAUGAGACUCUUAAUCCCAAGGCCGUGGGUUCAAGCCUCAUGUGGAGCA